rnacentral:lncRNA from 1 species
UCCCAUUUUGAUUGACUCGUUUUAAAAACCAAAGCAUCAAUUCUCAUAUUGGGUUAGGUGGCAUGAAAAUUGGCCCAAGUCGCUUCAAUUGCCAAAACUGCAAUGAGUGAAAAACACAUCCGAGAUUUUUCUAUUUUGAAAUUCAAAAUUAAUAACUUAAUCAUUUCUUUCUCUUAUGUGUUGCCCAUAAAAACCCUCAGAAAUUUCUUCAUCUCAUUCACACUUUCAAAACCCUCUAGAAACUCUGCAACUUCAAUUUCCUAGAAUUCUCAAGCUUCCUCUAUUUUCUUACCAACCGCUUUAACUUCUCCAACUCGAAACCCCAUCUUUUCAAAUGGCCAGCACUCAAACACCUCUAAGCUUCUGUGAACAGCUCACUUCAAAACAUUAAAAGCUUCCUUGACUGCCUUAUCAUCAAGCUCUUCAAAUAUCCUGAUAAGCCAUAAGCCAAGUCUUAGGUUUUUGGUCAUUUGAUCAAGAACUAUCUUAGACUCGGUCAUUUCACUGGUGAAGGAAAAUCUACUCACAUCACUUUUCAAAGUUGGGAGUCGCCAAACCCCAGACCGUUUGGCCCUCAGCCUCUACUAUUUGGGCUUCAUGGGUCAGCUGAAUGGUGCUCCACUUUAGCAAUGCGUGACAUCUGGGCAUUUUCGACACCAUCAAGAUCUUCAUAGUAGAUAUGAACAUGGAUCGAGAACUUUUAGUGGCGACCCUUAAUUU